UACGUAGGGUCCGAGCGUUGUCCGGAAUUACUGGGCGUAAAGAGCUCGUAGGUGGUUUGUCGCGUUGUUCGUGAAAACUCACAGCUCAACUGUGGGCGUGCGGGCGAUACGGGCAGACUUGAGUACUGCAGGGGAGACUGGAAUUCCUGGUGUAGCGGUGGAAUGCGCAGAUAUCAGGAGGAACACCAGUGGCGAAGGCGGGUCUCUGGGCAGUAACUGACGCUGAGGAGCGAAAGCGUGGGGAGCGAACAGG
rnacentral:rRNA from 1 species